UCUGUUGCUGGACAGAUAAUUGGGUUCCGGUAUAUACAACCAGAGACUUGGAGAUCGACGAUUUUGGAAGGUUUCAGGAAAAAAUUAGAAAAACUCGAAUUGAAAAUCAAGAUCCCACGGGAAACACAUAUUUACCCAUAGAAGUGGAGAAGAGGAUCCAACAAACAACUGCAAUUAUUCGCAAGAUCAGCACUUCUCAAAAUCAGCACACCUUUGUAAAAUUUGAAUGACAUUAAUUAAUCUCUGUUCUUAUUUAUCUGUUCUUUUUUAACUGAUUCAGCUUGAUCAGAUUGUCCCAUAGGCUAUUCUUAGCCUCGUGGACGUUAAAAUUCUUUCUUCUUCUAUAAACCAAAAUCUCAGUAGAUAAUACCAACAUUAUGGGCGCAGCAGAUUCCAAGUUUAAUGUUUCUCAGAGAGCCAGAGAUGAAAUUACCACGGUAAAGGAUCGUAUUGAGGAAGUGGAUCCCUCGUUGGAAAAACUCAAAGCUCUCAAAAUUGCUCCUCCUAUACUCAAGUCUCCUCCAACAGAAAGCACCCUUACUGAUAUUCUCGUUCGGAAAUCGUCAUCGACCUUAGAAUCUGGUGCUUUGAGCGCCAAAACUGCAAAUGAACUCUUCUCCCUUUAUCGGGAAUGGCAAGAAAUAACAGCGAAAAGAAUCAGUGAAGGCCAGGGGGAAUUGGAAAAUAAAAUAGAAAUUGCAGAUGCAUUAGCUACUAAGCUUCUGCAACGUUUCAACUACUCAGUUUCUGUUAUGAAAACUAGUGCCACGUGCUUUGAAGAUGUCUAUCCAUUGCAAGUGGAAGUUGGUGAGCUGAAAGGGAAGUUGAAAGAAGUGCUGGCAGACUAUGAUUCUCUUUGUAAACGGAUCAGCGCAGAGGGACCAGAUGUGCUAAAAGCCAGUGUUAUUCCAUUUUCCCCCAAUGAGCUACAACGUAGCAGUUCCCUUGGGUGCACCCCUGUACAGAAAGCGCCAUAAUUAUUGCCCUCAAGGACUUGUAAUCAAAGGACCUCAAGUUAUUUGUGCCUCAAAUUUUGUGGAUGUAAAAUUGCAAAUUCCGAUAGGCAAGUGUUGACUCUCAUAUCUUGCCAUAUUUUCUUCACGCAAAUAUGGAAGGGCUGCAAAGUGCAGGUUGGAUUAUGAAAAUGCUUAUUUACAUCAGAGUCCAUGGAGACUCUAGGAUUGGGGUACAAGUUUUGCGGGCAAAUUUUUUUUUUUUUUUUAGCAAAAAAUUGGGAUAGCAUGGGGGAUGACUAUUAAAAUACUAUAUAAAUAUAUUAAUAUUUGGCAAAUUAAUUAAAAAUACAAAAGAAGUUAAGUAAUUUAUUUA